GACGAACGCUGGCGGCGUGCUUAACACAUGCAAGUCGAACGGAAAGGCCCUGCUUUUGUGGGGUGCUCGAGUGGCGAACGGGUGAGUAACACGUGAGUAACCUGCCCUUGACUUUGGGAUCACUUCAGGAAACUGGGGCUAAUACCGGAUAGGAGCUCCUGCUGCAUGGUGGGGGUUGGAAAGUUUCGGCGGUUGGGGAUGGACUCGCGGCUUAUCAGCUUGUUGGUGGGGUAGUGGCUUACCAAGGCUUUGACGGGUAGCCGGCCUGAGAGGGUGACCGGCCACAUUGGGACUGAGAUACGGCCCAGACUCCUACGGGAGGCAGCAGUGGGGAAUAUUGCACAAUGGGCGGAAGCCUGAUGCAGCAACGCCGCGUGCGGGAUGACGGCCUUCGGGUUGUAAACCGCUUUCGCCUGUGACGAAGCGUGAGUGACGGUAAUGGGUAAAGAAGCACCGGCUAACUACGUGCCAGCAGCCGCGGUGAUACGUAGGGUGCGAGCGUUGUCCGGAUUUAUUGGGCGUAAAGGGCUCGUAGGUGGUUGAUCGCGUCGGAAGUGUAAUCUUGGGGCUUAACCCUGAGCGUGCUUUCGAUACGGGUUGACUUGAGGAAGGUAGGGGAGAAUGGAAUUCCUGGUGGAGCGGUGGAAUGCGCAGAUAUCAGGAGGAACACCAGUGGCGAAGGCGGUUCUCUGGGCCUUUCCUGACGCUGAGGAGCGAAAGCGUGGGGAGCGAACAGGCUUAGAUACCCUGGUAGUCCACGCUGUAAACGGUGGGUACUAGGUGUGGGGUCCAUUCCACGGGUUCCGUGCCGUAGCUAACGCUUUAAGUACCCCGCCUGGGGAGUACGGCCGCAAGGCUAAAACUCAAAGGAAUUGACGGGGCCCCGCACAAGCGGCGGAGCAUGCGGAUUAAUUCGAUGCAACGCGUAGAACCUUACCUGGGUUUGACAUGGAUCGGGAGCGCUCAGAGAUGGGUGUGCCUCUUUUGGGGUCGGUUCACAGGUGGUGCAUGGCUGUCGUCAGCUCGUGUCGUGAGAUGUUGGGUUAAGUCCCGCAACGAGCGCAACCCUUGUUCACUGUUGCCAGCACGUUAUGGUGGGGACUCAGUGGAGACCGCCGGGGUCAACUCGGAGGAAGGUGGGGAUGACGUCAAGUCAUCAUGCCCCUUAUGUCCAGGGCUUCACGCAUGCUACAAUGGCUGGUACAGAGAGUGGCGAGCCUGUGAGGGUGAGCGAAUCUCGGAAAGCCGGUCUCAGUUCGGAUUGGGGUCUGCAACUCGACCUCAUGAAGUCGGAGUCGCUAGCAAUCGCAGAUCAGCAACGCUGCGGUGAAUACGUUCCCGGGGCU
rnacentral:rRNA from 1 species